AACUGUUGCGGACGGGGAGUUCGGGACGUUUACUUUGAACAAAUUAGAUUGUUCCAAGCAGGCCGUUUGCUUUGAAUACAUUAGCAUGGAAUAAUGGAAUAGGGCUGCGUGGCCUGUCGUCUGACGGCGGGUCCUCGUGUCCUAUUUUGUUGGUUUUCGGGACCGCAGUCAUGGUCAAGAGGGACAGUUGGGGGCAUUCGUAUUCAGUUGUCAGAGGUGAAAUUCUUGGAUUUACGGAAGACGAACAACUGCGAAAGCAUUUGCCAAGGAUGUUUUCAUUAAUCAAGAACGAAAGUUGGGGGUUCGAAGACGAUCAGAUACCGUCGUAGUCCCAACCAUAAACCAUGCCGGCUAGGGAUCGGCGGACGUCGGUAGCGACUCCGUCGGCACCUCUCGAGAAAUCCAAGCCUUGGUCCG
rnacentral:rRNA from 1 species